AGGUCCUCCAUAUGGUAGAGUUAUAGCUCCAUCUAGCCUGAUCCUCCAUUGUAGGAGUAUUUGUUCUUUUUCUUCUUGGUCUUCCUGGUGUACAUGUCUAGCGUUCUUGGUGAACGACUGAAGUUUCUUCUUGAAUCCGCUGUCUUUUCUUAUUAAAAUCUCUCUAGGAACCCUUCUAUCUCUCAGUUUCAAAAUUCUUCUUCUUUAACUGCUUGGCAUUGGUAUCUUUGGAUCUUAGCAUCUUUGAAGAUGAUUUUGGGGUUCUCAGUUAGUCAGUUCUCUUGGGGGAGGAAGAGAGUAGUGGGAUGUGAUUUGGGAUAUAUGCUUCCCACAAAUGCUCGUGUGAAUGAGUGAAGCUGCCAGCAUGAUCUAGCCUUGGUUGGCGUCAUCGGCUUCCCACAGAGUCACCAGAUCGGUUUGUUGGCUUGGUGUACCUGCAAAUCAUUGCUAGAUCAUGCAUGACAGCCUCAUUUCUUCACAAUGUUGAGCAUGUAUACACUCAUCUGCGAAGAAAUGGAAAAUAAGGUUUUAGAUAGGGCAACUUCUUGAUGUACGAUCCUUUAUUUUUCUGCUACUAUUUAUUGUUCCAUCUGCUAUGGUGAUGCUGCAGGUUUUUGAGGAACAUCGAUCCAUCAAUCCAUGGUGGAGCCGCAUGACAGGGAAAGAAGUUCAUCUUUAUCCGCAGUAUUUCAUCUACAAUUAUGUAUCAAAUAUGUAUGUGAGUUCCAAUCUUGUAAUAAUGUUUCAAGAAUAUUUUUUUCACGCGUAGCAUUUUUAUGCAAUGAAAUAGCCUAGCCUUUCUUGGAUGAAGUAUGUUUAUGUGAGUUCCAAGUUUGUAAUCAUGUCGGCCAAUCAUAUAUUGGAGCUAUCACUAAUUUAUCAAUUGAAUUAACAAGCAGUAGUAGUUUAGUGACCUUGAUCUACCUCCUAAUAUAACCUGGUACCUAGUUUCAUCUUUGCCAAACAUGAUCUAGUACUUGGUAUAUCAGAUGCUUAGUUCAAAGUUCAACAAAAUCACUUGACCACUGAUAUUUACCACUACAGCAGUACUAAAUUACUAAUUUAUAUGCAGUAUUUCUGUUCAUGUUUUAACAUCACCUACUGCUGCAGCACUGUUACAAGAAACUAUAAUUGAUUUAUUGACGUAUUUAAGCAUAUAAACCUAUAUAUAGACACUACGAAAUUUAGGGUCAUGCAUCUUUGUCCAAUGGCAUGCCUUGUCCAAUUGUCCUUGUGCUCACAUAUAUGUUGCAGAACAGCUAUGUGUCUAUUUAAUAUAAAGAGAUGAUCUCGAUCUGCAUAAAAGGCUAUAGAUGCAAUGCAUGGAGCCCAAUCCAAGACAAAGCUAGCUAGGCACCCAAGUAAUGGUCUUGUCACUUUCUUGCUUCCAAAGCCGGGUCACUGCUGAUGAAGAGAGGCUCAUGUGCCACAGUUGCGUGCAGUUCGUUAUUAACUGUACAUCAGAAUGCAGAUGGUGGGGUGUCAGGACUCAGAUCUUGGUAUGUUAUGCAUUCAGCAUUGAACAUGCAUUUUCUUUCUAGUGUUGAAAUCUCCAAAGGGCUUGCAGGUAUACUACUACUUCGCAUUGUCCACAAAAGGUAGGUGAAUAGUGGAUGAUGAUUUGGGAUGUGCGUGGCGUAUUUGUAGCUAGUCAGCUAUUUUUAACCUUUGGCGAGUAACAAUUUAGAUUAUCCUCGUUAAAACAGCAGAAACUAACUUUAGUAUGUUUCACUAAAAUAAUGGCAGAAUUAGAGUUAUUGGUUAUGAAAUUAUUUUAGUACCGAUUUUUGCAAACAAUCACUGGCCGUGGACCCCCACUUGAUUUUUUUUUGUGUGUACUAGUCUGAUCCGUCAGCUGCACGCCUCCACUCCACACCCUAUCUCUCCCUCAGCUCCCAGGCUUAUCCUUGCAACAAACAUCGUACGAAAAAAAAAGCACAGGGAAAAGAUCAAAAUUGUAAAGAGGGAGCAAUUCCCAGUCUUGCACAGCUCGGUCUUCUAUAUAUCCCGGCCCUCUCUCUCUCUCUCUCUCUACUCCAAUUAUUCCCCCCUCUCUCUCAUGUCCGAUUCUUAUCUUGUUCCUGCUCUCCUUCCUCCAUUAGAGGGUAGCGGUGCUCCACAAGUUGGUGAAGCUGCCAGCAUGAUCUGAUGGUAUGAUAUGCUUUAUUUUACCUCUCUCCCUGAUUGCCAAGGACGAAUUCAGAGAUUCGGGGAGAGAGGAAUAGGCGUCAGGUCAUGCUGUAGUUUCAUCUGCUGGUGGGUGCACAACGAAAACCCUAGCUAGCAGAGAAUUACAUCCACGCAUCAAAUCGUCAGUGGAUGUGUUCGGGUCAGUUCUUGCAGAGAAUUCGUGCUGCAACGAGAUCAGAUAUGGAGAUCACAUGGAUGCAGGAAUCGGCCUUCUGUGAGAGUAUGGGAUAUACUGUUUAUUUCUAGCAGUGUGGCUACUGUGAUCCUGCUCACAAUCAUUUUUUUUAGGCGAACUGCUCACAAUCAUGUAGGUGAAAUGAUGUAUCAUAUAGCAAGGCAAGUAUGUAUUACGAUUGCUCAUUGUUGACUAAGGACAAAAUAAUAAUUGUGGGCAAAUUGGGGCUAUGAAAGUCGUCUGAUUAGACAGCUGAGAAUCUUCAGCGAUAAUGCUUGCUUCCAAGA